UACGUAGGGGGGCAAGCGUUGUCCGGAAUCAUUGGGCGUAAAGAGCGUGUAGGCGGCCCGGUAAGUCCGCUGUGAAAGUCCAGGGCUCAACCCUGGGAUGCCGGUGGAUACUGUCGGGCUCGAGUCCGGAAGGGGCGAGUGGAAUUCCUGGUGUAGCGGUGAAAUGCGCAGAUAUCAGGAGGAACACCUAUUGCGAAGGCAGCUCGCUGGGACGUAACUGACGCUGAGACGCGAAAGCGUGGGGAGCAAACAGG
rnacentral:rRNA from 1 species